ensembl:snoRNA small nucleolar RNA SNORD67
GGUGACAGUGAUGAGUUGCACUACUGUCAGGUUGCUGUUUGCAGUGGCACAGCAGACCUGUCCUGACACAAUGUGGUGACACCUGUUGUGCACAGGGGCCAUCUGAGUCGCC